ensembl:lncRNA
CUGCCUCCUGAACUCUGUCUUCUGUAGGACAUGAACUUCUCAUUAACUAAGAAGUCCUGAUAGCACUGCCAAUCCCAUGUGACAGUGGACCUCAUUCAAGGGAGAAUGAGAGAAAGGAGAUGUGUUCUGAAGCACUGCCAAACCGGAGUCUCCCAAGUGACUACCUGCUGAUCAGAUUUCUAAAUGUCUGGUAUAUCUUGUGAAGAAGACUGUCAGCAUAUCAAUACCCCUGUCUGCAACAGAAGCUGAUUCUUCAGAUGGCAGCAGAGGACCAGUCUGACAAAAAGGAGUCUGAUGUGGAAAUGCAUAUCAAGCAAAGGUGCAUCACUGAAUUCCUCCACGCAGAAAAAAAUUGCAUCCAGUAAUGCUUGCUGAAUGUUUAUGGAGACCAAACAGUGCAUGCAACUGUGAUGUUCGUUGCUUUAGGGAGCCUGCGGCUUGGCCAUAUACCAAGGUGACACCAAUAUGAUGAGCGGUCAGCACGAUAGCACUGUCUCUCUAUGCUUAGGGAGAGGCCUGUCCCGUACAUCCCGUGCCCCCGCAAGACGCCUACUACAACACUUUCUUCUGAGUAAGACGAGUUUCUUCCCAUAGCUUCUUCAAACAAUAGAAGACUUGACUGUUCUGCUAAAACUGGCAUGCAUAUUCCUUGUCAGCCCAGUAUCAAAGCACUUAUCCAAGAUUUCUGACAGAGGCAGAUAAUGAUUUUCUAGAAAUAUCUGCACCUUAUAAAAGUGAAGUGAGGUGACUUCUGCAUCCCAGGAUGUACUGAGAAAAGUACACAAUAAGUUGUGCUAUAAAUGAAGUGUGCAAAUAUCUGUCUGUCCUUGUUCUGUUAACCUUGAAAAACACAUGACAAAUUUAAUGGGCACAGAUGUCAUCUCUUCCACUAUCCAAGCUUUUACUAAUUGCAGUGUUUCAGGCACUAAAUCAUAAUUAAAUAUACGUAUAUGUAUAUUUCUUUAUGUUCUCACUGAAUCUGGAAUUGUAGAUGGCUGAAUAACAUAAGAAAAGCUAUGACUCCAGCAGAAUGGUCAUUAUGACUGUAUCAGCAAUACAUGUGG